CCUACGGGUGGCAGCAGUGAGGAAUAUUGGUCAAUGGACGCAAGUCUGACCCAGCAAUGCCGCGUGCAGGAAGACGGCUCUAUGAGUUGUAAACUGCUUUUGUACGAGGGUAAAUCCCGAUACGUGUAUCGGGUUGAAAGUAUCGUACGAAUAAGGAUCGGCGCACUCCGUGCCAGCCGCCGCGGUAAUACGGUGGGUUCAAGCGUUAUCCGGAUUUAUUGGGUUUAAAGGGUGCGUAGGCGGUUCGGUAAGUUAGAGGUGAAAUCCCGGGGCUCAACUCUGGCACUGACUCGGAUACUGUCGGGCUAGAGUGUAGUGGCGGUAAGCGGAAUGUAUGGUGUAGCGGUGAAAUGCAUAGAGAUCAUACAGAACACCGAUGGCGAAGGCAGCUUACCAAACUACGACUGACGUUGAGGCACGAAAGCGUGGGGAGCAAACAGGAUGAGAUACCCCAGUAGUC
rnacentral:rRNA from 1 species